GCCGAGAUGGCGAAAUGGUAGACGCGCACGUUUCAGGUACGUGUGGAGCAAUCCAUGGAGGUUCAAGUCCUCUUCUCGGCACAA
rnacentral:tRNA from 2 species